rnacentral:misc_RNA from 1 species
GGAAGUAAAAGUCGUAACAAGGUCUCCGUAGGUGAACCUGCGGAGGGAUCAUUACAAGAACGCCCGGGCUUCGGCCUGGUUAUUCAUAACCCUUUGUUGUCCGACUCUGUUGCCUCCGGGGCGACCCUGCCUUCGGGCGGGGGCUCCGGGUGGACACUUCAAACUCUUGCGUAACUUUGCAGUCUGAGUAAACUUAAUUAAUAAAUUAAAACUUUUAACAACGGAUCUCUUGGUUCUGGCAUCGAUGAAGAACGCAGCGAAAUGCGAUAAGUAAUGUGAAUUGCAGAAUUCAGUGAAUCAUCGAAUCUUUGAACGCACAUUGCGCCCCCUGGUAUUCCGGGGGGCAUGCCUGUUCGAGCGUCAUUUCACCACUCAAGCCUCGCUUGGUAUUGGGCAACGCGGUCCGCCGCGUGCCUCAAAUCGUCCGGCUGGGUCUUCUGUCCCCUAAGCGUUGUGGAAACUAUUCGCUAAAGGGUGUUCGGGAGGCUACGCCGUAAAACAACCCCAUUUCUAAGGUUGACCUCGGAUCAGGUAGGGAUACCCGCUGAACUUAAGCAUAUCAAUAAGCGGAGGA